rnacentral:misc_RNA from 1 species
AAGGAUAUAUUCGGAACAUCUUCUUCGAAGAUGAAARGGAUUAACGUGACAUAUUGUAUUCAGUUUUGAAUGUUUAUUAACAUUCAAAUUUGUACAUUGAAAACUAGAUAAGUAAGUAAAUAGAUUUUACCAAGCAAAACCGAGUGAAUAGAGUUUUAAAUAAGCUUGAAUUCAUAAAAAUAAUCGCUAGUGUUCGAAAGAACACUCACAAGAUUAAUAACAGGUUUUCGACUUURACUUUUAAAGAAAUCGUUUUUCAGAUAAUGAGUUGAUUUAAUUUUAAGCGCAGUUUACUUAUGUAAAUGAGCAUUUAAAUUAAUGAAACGAAGCGAUAUGAAAGCGAUUGACUAAAAGUAUGGUGGAAACAUA